CAGCAGCCACGGGAAUACGAAGGGGGCUAGCGUUGUUCGGAUUUACUGGGCGUAAAGGGUGCGUAGGCGGAUUGUUAAGUCAGGGGUGAAAUCCCGAGGCUCAACCUCGGAACCGCCUUUGAUACUGGCGAUCUUGAGUCCGGGAGAGGUGAGUGGAACUGCGAGUGUAGAGGUGAAAUUCGUAGAUAUUCGCAAGAACACCGGUGGCGAAGGCGGCUCACUGGCCCGGUACUGACGCUGAGGCACGAAAGCGUGGGGAGCAAACAGGUUUAGAUACCCCAGUAGUCCCUGUCUCUUAUAC
rnacentral:rRNA from 1 species